rnacentral:snRNA from 1 species
GUCACCUCUUGGCUGUCUGAGCUAGGAUCAUGAGUAAAGUGUGUUCUUCGCAGUGUAAUUUCUGCAAUGGUCUCUAAAUUUUGGCCAAUGAAAUUACCUGUAUUUUAUUCUUUACGGACAGGUGCUAUGAGCUUGCUCAACCCCGUUCACAUCUCAGCCUCAUAUUACAUUACCUCGAUGACUGGUCCAUUAAAG